rnacentral:lncRNA from 1 species
GGGGCCCACCCCAUGGAGAUGCAGUUGCCCUGGUGAUGUUCCCCCCAGCAGGGAUGCAGUUCCCAUGGCGAUGUUCCCCUGGCAGGCGGGGCCGUUGUCCCACUGCCGCCAGGGGACCCCAGAGCCAGGCCCUGACGGGGACAUGCCCUUGCCUUGGCCCCUGACGUCGCAGCUUCCUGGCGCUUUGCCUCCUUGUCCAGGGAAACGCUUCAGUGUCAGCUGCCAGGCUCAGAGCUCCUUCCCGAGGAUGACCCUCAUCUACUGGCUGGCAAACGGCUCCUUCGUGGAGGACCGGUACCCGGACGGGGCAGUGAGCAAAGGGGACGUCGUAAGGGAGCUCCGGGGCACCAAGGUCCUCCUGACCCGGGAGCUGCACUUCCGCUCCUUCUCCUGGAGGGACUGGAGCACCUCGUUCCUGUGCAUGGUGAGGAACCCGGCCGGGCUCGAAAAGGUGCUUGUCCACUGGGACCCUAAACGGCCAGCACAGAUCUCCGAGCCGCAGCAGGAGACAAGGCAGGAUGUCCAGACCCCAGAGAGCACCCCCACCAUGGACCGCACCGAGAGCACGGACUGAGCGUGGGGACAACAGCGCCAGCCUGCGAGAGGCACCGAUACUGGGUCUACGGCUGCCAAGGCCAUGUCAGCCUCCCUCCAUGGCCAACACAGCUGAGCUGCGCUGCCCUCCCCUGCCCCCUCUGUUCUUCCUGUGUCUGCUUGCCGCCCGGCCGGGCCAUGGCUUGGCUGCCCCGGAGGCCUAGGGCUGGAUAUAGCCCCAGCCCUCUGCUUGUCUGUUACAUUCCCCACCCCAGACACAUUACACUGGUGGGGGAGGCUCCCAGAGGACUUGCCCUCUGGACACGGGCACAAGGCGGCAGUAACGGGGCUGGGAAAGGCCCACGUUUGCCCCCCACCCCAUCCCUCUUCCACCGCUCUGGCAGGGUCACUCUCUCCCCUAGUGAAGUGGGGUGACCAAAGCCGCCCCCUGCUGCCAGCCCAGCCUACGACUGAAGGGGGCAGGGUCCCUUCGACAGCUGCCAGCAAUGCCCUGCCCAUUAUAUGCCCAGGAGGGCAGCACCUGCUUGGGGCAGGAGCUAGGAGACCAGCAACCACAGGCCUCUUGCUGCCAGCUCUCCUCCCACUUUGCACUGUUUCUAUUAAAUAAAAAUACA